UAAAAUGCUGGCGGCGUGCCUAACACAUGCAAGUCGAGCGGUAACAGGGCCUUCGGGAUGCUGACGAGCGGCGGACGGCUGAGUAACGCGUGGGAACGAUACCCCAAAGUGAGGGAUAACUGCCCGAAAGGGUGGCUAAUACCGCAUAUGAUCUUCGGAUUUAAAGGAUUUAUCCGCUUUGGGAAUGGCCUGCGUACGAUUAGAUAGUUGGUGAGGUAAUGGCUCACCAAGUCGACGAUCGUUAACUGGUUUGAGAGGAUGAUCAGUCAGACUGGAACUGAGAUACGGUCCAGACUCCUACGGGAGGCAGCAGUGAGGAAUCUUCCACAAUGGGCGAAAGCCUGAUGGAGCAACGCCGCGUGCAGGAUGAAGGCCUUCGGGUCGUAAACUGCUUUUAUAAGUGAAGAAUAUGACGGUAGCUUAUGAAUAAGCACCGGCUAACUACGUG
rnacentral:rRNA from 1 species